UAUGUGGUUUAAUUCGAUGCAACGCGAAGAACUUACCUGGUCUUGACAUCCGGAGACCCUUAGGAAACUAGGGGUGCUUCCAUCUGGAAGAAUCUGGAGACAGGUGCUGCAUGGCUGUCGUCAGCUCGUGUCGUGAGAUGUUGGGUUAAGUCCCGCAACGAGCGCAACCCUUGCCUUUAGUUGCCAGCAGUUCGGCUGGGCACUCUAAAGGGACUGCCGGUGUUAAACCGGAGGAAGGUGGGGAUGACGUCAAGUCCUCAUGGCCUUUAUGACCAGGGCUACACACGUACUACAAUGGCCGAUACAAAGGGCAGCGACACUGCGAGGUGAAGCCAAUCCCGUAAAAUCGGUCUCAGUCCGGAUUGGAGUCUGCAACUCGACUCCAUGAAGUUGGAAUCGCUAGUAACCGUGGAUCAGCAUGCCACGGUGAAUACGUUCCCGGGCCUU
rnacentral:rRNA from 1 species